GUGCCAGCAGCCGCGGUAAUACGGAGGGUGCAAGCGUUAUCCGGAUUUACUGGGUUUAAAGGGUGCGUAGGCGGGCCUGUAAGUCAGUGGUGAAAUCCUCCGACUCAAUCGGAGAACUGCCAUUGAUACUAUAGGCCUUGAAUACAGUUGAGGUGGGCGGAAUGUGUCGUGUAGCGGUGAAAUGCUUAGAUAUGACACAGAACACCGAUUGCGAAGGCAGCUCGCUAAACUGUGAUUGACGCUGAGGCACGAAAGCGUGGGGAUCAAACAGGAUUAGAAACCCUCGUAGUCC
rnacentral:rRNA from 1 species